CGGUUGAUCCUGCCGGACCUGACUGCUAUCGGAUUGAUACUAAGCCAUGCGAGUCUUUGUAGUAAUACAAGGCAUACGGCUCAGUAACGCGUAGUCAACCUACCCUAUGGACAAGAAUAAUCUCGGGAAACUGAGCAUAAUUCUUGAUAGAUCAUAAUGCCUGGAAUGGUAUAUGGUUAAAAUGAUUCGUCGCCAUAGGAUGGGACUGCGGCUUAUCAGCUUGUUGGUGAGGUAAUGGCCCACCAAGGCGAUUACAGGUACGGGCUCUGAGAGGAGAAGCCCGGAGAUGGGUACUGAGACAAGGACCCAGGCCCUAUGGGGCGCAGCAGGCGAGAAAACUUUGCAAUGUGCGAAAGCACGACAAGGUUAGUCCGAGUGAUUUCUGCUAAAGAGAUCUUUUGCUAGUUAUAAAACCACUAGUGAAUAAGGGGUGGGCAAGUUCUGGUGUCAGCCGCCGCGGUAAAACCAGCACCUCAAGUGGUCAGGAUGAUUAUUGGGCCUAAAGCAUCCGUAGCCGGCUCUGUAAGUUUUCGGUUAAAUCUACGCGCUCAACGUAUGGGCUGCCGAAAAUACUGCAGAGAUAGGGAGUGGGAGAGGUAGACGGUACUCGGUAGGAAGGGGUAAAAUCCUUUGAUCUAUCGAUGACCACCUGUGGCGAAGGCGGUCUACCAGAACACGUUCGACGGUGAGGGACGAAAGCUGGGGGAGCAAACCGGAUUAGAUACCCGGGUAGUCCCAGCCGUAAACGAUGCAGACUCGAUGAUGCAUUGGCAUAUAGCCAGUGCAGUGCUGCAGGGAAGCCGUUAAGUUUGCCGCCUGGGAAGUACGUACGCAAGUAUGAAACUUAAAGGAAUUGGCGGGGGAGCACCAC
rnacentral:rRNA from 1 species